CGCACCUUGCGCUCCUUGGUAUUCCUUGGAGCAUGCCUGUUUGAGAGUCUUGAAUAUCUCUGCUUUUACCUUUUUUUUAUUAAGAAGAAUAAAAGUCAGGUCCUUGGGUCUGCUUGCGAUUUGUUACGAAUACAAGCUUACCUUAAAUGAAUUAGCUGGACUUCAGCAGAGUUGUUAAGUAACAUUGAAAACUCUCGUAAUACGAAGUCUGCUCAUAACCUCGCUCUAAGCGAAAUUUUUCAAUUUUGGCCUCAAAUCAGGUAGGACUACCCGCUGAACUUAA
rnacentral:misc_RNA from 1 species